rnacentral:pre_miRNA from 1 species
AGCCUUCCGUAUCCACGCUGAGAUUUUGUCACACACCAGACCACAAGGGCUGAUGAGACUUCCAAGAUAAGUGAAGCG